CGCCUCUUGACCCCAUAUAAGAGGUCCAGCCUGCCCAGUGACCAAGUUCAACGGCCGCGGUAUCCUAACCGUGCGAAGGUAGCGUAAUCACUUGUUCUUUAAAUGAGGACUAGUAUGAAUGGCACCACGAGGGUUAUACUGUCUCCUUUUUCCAAUCAAUGAAACUGAUCCCCCCGUGAAGAAGCGGGGAUACAUAUAUAAGACGAGAAGACCCUAUGGAGCUUUAAACUAUGUAACACUGGCUUACAGAUUACUACAUUCCAGAAUUAUUAUAUUACCCCAGCCACUAUGAUUACAAGUUUUGGGUUGGGGUGACCACGGAGCAAAAAUUAACCUCCACGAUGAACGGAGCCGUUCCUGAACCAAAAGCUACAACUUUAAGCACUAACAAAUUAACAUUAAUUGACCCAAUAUUUUUGAUCAACGAACCAAGUUACCCUAGGGAUAACAGCGCA
rnacentral:rRNA from 1 species